rnacentral:lncRNA from 1 species
UCACUACCGUGCAUAUUCAACAUCCACAAACAAACUUUCAAAAUAAUCUGAAUGAAAAAGGAAUAGAAGGCGGACGCCUUAUUACUCCUCGAAAGAAUUGGACGAUUGGUGAACACCACAUUGCUCAAUCUUUCGUCGUUCUUCAAAAAAACAUCUCAAACAAAUCAAACCUAAUUUCUCGCCCCCGAGCGAUUGAAACCAAAC